rnacentral:tRNA from 1 species
UGUGCGGUGGUAGAGAGGUAAUACAGACGGCUGUUAACCGUCCGCCGAAAGGCAUCGCUGGUUCGAUCCCAGCCCGCACAGC